UAGCAUGAAGGCUCUUGAGCAGGGGAGA
rnacentral:piRNA from 1 species